rnacentral:tRNA from 3 species
AGCGGGGUAGAGGAAUGGUCAACUCGUCAGGCUCAUGCCCUGAAAACAGCAGGUUCGAAUCCUGCCCCCGCCU